rnacentral:lncRNA from 1 species
GAGCACAGAGUACAGAUAUAGAGUUAUGGCAUGAGGUAGCCAUACCAGGUCGCCCCUGGAUAGUCCAGGUCGCUCCUGGUACUAUGAGAUAGACAGUUUGACCUGACUCAGAUAGAGAAGUCCAGGUGAGGCCUAAUCGCCCCUGGCAAGUUGGACAUAUUGUUAUAUGUAUACACUGAAGGGCUAUUGGUGACAAGUUCAUCCUUUUGAUGAUAUGUUGUGAUGUGAUG